CUGCCUCCUGCUGAGGCGCUCCCCAGAUGCCCCCGGCGCAUCUGGGCAGUGCCCCCCGGCUGUCAGCUGCUGUGCCACAGCUGGGCAGGUGCAGACUCCUCCCCCGCCCGGGGGAGUAGAGAGAAAACCUCGGACAGCAGCUUGGCACUCCCUCAUUUAUCUGCAGGCAUUGAUCUCCAAUGCUUGAAGACCCUGGCUUAAAUAACUCCUCACAAGGUUAGCAAGCCAGUUGGGAAAGAUACUCUACACCACUCUCCUUGACAGUGUCUCCUCAAAGAGGUUUGUACAGUCGCAGAAGUCUGCAAAGGACACCAGGUGUCAGACCAGAGUGGAUUCCAUCUCCUGAGAUGCUCCAUGGUCCCAAAGUGCAGCCGUAUAAAGGACAGUUGAUACGCUUAAACACCAUAUGUGCUUAAGGCAAACAUUUUCCAAAAUGAAACCAGGCAUAAGUAAGCCCAGUACAUGAUUUCUCAGAUACUACAAGAGAGCAGGACAUCUCAUUAUUACAAGAACAGUGCCAUCAUAACAAAUAAAAAGGUUCACUAAGAAGAUGUAGGUUUUCAUAACUCUGCAUGGCCUUCCACCAAUGUGAUGUGAUCUCAUUUCAGAAUGCCUACUAGCUUCUUUAAUCACUUGAGAUGUGAAUACAUUCAAAAUUAAAAGACAGAAGAAGACAUGGCGACUGUGCCUAUGCUGUAAACCAAAGACAGGAGAGAGUGCUGCUGUGUUUUCUGUUUUGUUUUCUCUUGCAACCCAAGCAGUUUGGUAUCUAUAAAUUAUGAACUUCAGACUCCAUUUUGCAAGAUGCAAGGAGAGAGAGAUGUGGAUAUAUGGGGUAAUUAAGGGUGAGAGUCCAACUUGUCUGGUUGAAGCAUUCUGGAUUCUGUUGAAGUAAUAGAAUAAAACCCAGAAUGAAAAGCAUCAAUGUGCUGUUUCUUAUCUAUGAAUCAAGAAAACUUCUCAUCAGAUUUUUUAGGAGAGAUAUUUAUUAAUAAGGAAACUAGAAUUUUUUUUCUGCCGGCAUCUGCACCAAACAUUUAAAAGAACUCUACUAAAGUAUUUCUAGGACUUGUGGACCAACUGAGACUCAGCAUAUGAACAUAUACAUAGCUUAAAAGAUGUGUCAGACAGAAGAUAUCUUCAAUGGUGUACCUUCAGAGCUGAGACAUUUUCCAGAUGACAGAAGAAAGCAAACAGCACCACAGGCUGUACUGUACCUGCUGAGCAGUAAACUACAGCAUAAAGCAUUUGUCUGACCCAAUUACUUUUGAAUGGACUUAAUUACAGUGAAUAAUAUAAAAAUAAAUAUUUAGAGAGUUUCAGACAUAUACAUUGCCAGAACUUACAUAUUGCUUUAUAUUUGCCACAUCAUUUCUACAAACAUGGAUGCUAGAAAUGCAGUAAGCAAAAAUGGUGAUGGGAAUUGCUGGAUGUCUUUGGAAAGAAGGCAAGCAUGAUGCAAGCAGUGCGUAUGUAGCUCUGGUCAGAUCUUUUGUAGAGACAAGAUGGAUAAAUUUGCUUGCAUUUUCUUCUAAAAUCUUUUAUCUUUGUGUAUUUAAGAGGGAAAGACUAUUAAAUAUAUGAAGCCAAAUAAUUUUAUUUGUUUUGGAAAUCUGCUGUGCAUCAGCCGUUGCUACUGGAAAAGGUCUACUUUUGCACAAGCAGGUAAUGAAAACCAAUAGAAGGUAAAUUUUCUAAGCAAAACAAGUGAAAAUGGUGACCAAGCAUCCCCACACAGAUAUUCUAGCAUUUUGUUUCUUUGGGCCAGCUGUAGCAGUUCUAAGCACUGCAACAUUUAAUGCAUUCUGAAAAGCUGAACAUGAUGCCCCAAAUUGUGCUCUGGAUCCAAGAAACUCAGCAUGUAGAUGGAGCUACAAAUGGCAGAGUGUAAAGGGCUCUGUUAUAAACCCCGACCUUCCUUCUGGUGUUGUGUGCACCAGGAGCACACAGCAGGUACAGACCCCUCAGCCUGAGGUCUUGCUCUUGAUUCUAGGGGUGCAUCUUUCUCCCUUGCCCCCCAACUACAGCUACAGCCUAUAACCUCAUGGUACACUCCCACACUGUGACACAAAGUAUUGUUCCCUUCUCCCAAGGGCCCAGCAGUUCCCAUUGGAAUGACACCUAUGUCCAUUCCACAAGCCUCACCAUCCUUGUUUUCAGUGUAAUUCAAAGAACAAAUACUAUUCAAGCAGUAAAUACUCUUUCCCACAACUUUUAUGGCCCCUGGUUGAGCUACAUAUAUUAUAUAACCCUGUAAAAGCAAAGAAAAAUUAAGAAAUGCUGCAGAUCAGUAAACCUGUUAGGAGAGAAACAAAAACCUUUUUUAUCCAGUACCAAAGAAGACCAGGGCUCUGACAACACAACAAGGCAGAUCAGUUUGCCGCACUCCUGGUGGAUCCAUCUACUUUGAUACCUCUGGCACUUAGAUGCUGUAGCCUGCACAUCCCACUGUGCUAACAAGAUAGAAACCUGUUAGUGAUUCUUCCCAAUCCUUAUUAGGGCAAUAAAGGUGUCAGCUGAUGUAUGCUGUGGUUGAAUGACCAUCUGUUCAGGGGUAAACAAGUCACUUGAACGCUGGAAUAAACAUCGAGAAGCUUC